rnacentral:rRNA from 1 species
UCAGUGCGUAGGAGAACAAAGUUCUGCUUGUACGAAGGUGAAUACUACUUGGAACAUCAGUUGCUGGUUUCGCGUUGUGGCGAAUGGUUUCUUCCACCCGUCUUGAAACACGGACCAAGGAGUCUAACAUAUAUGCGAGUAUUAGGCUGACAAAGCCUGAUGCGUAAUGAAAGUAAAGCUGAUAAAGCUAGGUAGGAAUCUCGCCCUCGGGUGGGAGGCACUAUCGACCGAUCGUUCGCUUGCGGAAGAUUUGAGUAAGAGCAUAUAUGUUGGGACCCGAAAGAUGGUGAUCUAUGCCUGAACAGGGUGAAGCCAGGGGAAACUCUGGUGGAAGCUCGUAGCGAUACUGACGUGCAAAUCGUUCGUCUGAUUUGGGUAUAGGGGCGAAAGACUAAUCGAACCAUCUAGUAGCUGGUUCCCCUCCGAAGUUUCCCUCAGGAUAGCUGGAACUCACUCAGUUUUUAUCAGGUAAAGCUAAUGAUUAGU